rnacentral:rRNA from 1 species
UACGGGGGGGGCAAGCGUUGUUCGGAAUUACUGGGCGUAAAGGGUGUGUAGGUGGCGCGCUAAGUCGGGUGUGAAAUUUCGGAGCUUAACUCCGAAACUGCAUUCGAUACUGGCGUGCUUGAGGACUGGAGAGGAGACUGGAAUUUACGGUGUAGCGGUGAAAUGCGUAGAUAUCGUAAGGAAGACCAGUGGCGAAGGCGGGUCUCUGGACAGUUCCUGACGCUGAGGCACGAAGGUCAGGGGAGCAAACGGG